rnacentral:lncRNA from 1 species
UGAGAGAUUAAUUUUUCAUUUGAAGUCCGAUCUUGCUCUCUCUUUCUUCCCUAUGAGAAGCCCUUCUUCUUGGUGAAUUUGGGUAUUUUAUUUUUGGAGAUGUUGGGGAGAAAUAUUCUUGGUUUUGGGACAGAUUGCUGUUCGAUUUUCUUGACUGCGUGGGAACUCCAUUUUUUGAGUCGACUUCUUGGGUUCUAUUUCUUAGUGAAGAACCGUGUUUUUACUUGGUGAUCGGUGCAUGAUUUCUCGAGUUUUUCAACAAAUAUAAUUUGUAAAACCCUUGUAAUACUAUAGAUACAUAUGGUAGUGGUGCUGUUCCAUUUUUGGUUUGUAUGAACCUAUGUGGUUCGAAGUGAGCAGCUCGGGUUUUUUGAAGAUCUUAGCGGUCUGGUUCAGUUCCUUAGUGGAACCUGAUUUGUAGUGUGAUUUGUAUAUGAAUCUCAGUGAUUGAUUGUUGGCAGAAUUUGUGUUUUGGUAGAUCUAUGUGAUCGGUGUUGAUUCCUUUGUGGAAUAUUGACAUGCCUUGUGAUUUCUCUUGAAAUAAGCCUCGUUCAUUGUGGGAAAUUCGACAUUUGUGAGACCUUUGUGAUCUCAGUUAGUUUCUGUGUGGAAUAGUGGUUGCCUUGUGUAGUUCUAGAAAAGAUAAGUCCUAUAUUUGGUUCUUUGUAAAUUUCUGGAACACUGUUGUAUUUUGUUGCCUGAUUUUUG